AAGUCGUAACAAGGUUUCCGUAGGUGAACCUGCGGAAGGAUCAUUACCAAUUCGAUUUUUGCUGCCUGUGGCGGAAAGCAACCCUUUCCCCACCAGCAAAUUCCAACCAACCCUUGAUUGUGAACCGAGAGAAAAAACCAUAUCCAAGUCUCCUGGGCUGGCCGUUGUGCCUUUCCAGGAGCAAUUUUAUCCAACCCCAUACCAAAAAGCACUCGCGUGUCGAAAGAUGCGUGUGUGAAAAAAAGCAAGCGUUGAGCUCCGAUGAGAGAAAAAAGAAAAAAUGUCAUAACAACUUUUAACGGCGGAUCUCUAGGCUCGU
rnacentral:misc_RNA from 1 species